rnacentral:rRNA from 1 species
UACGUAGGGUGCGAGCGUUAAUCGGAAUUACUGGGCGUAAAGCGUGCGCAGGCGGUCUUGCAAGUCAGAUGUGAAAUCCCCGGGCUCAACCUGGGAACUGCAUUUGUGACUGCAAGGCUGGAGUGCGGCAGAGGGGGAUGGAAUUCCGCGUGUAGCAGUGAAAUGCGUAGAUAUGCGGAGGAACACCGAUGGCGAAGGCAAUCUCCUGGGCCUGCACUGACGCUCAUGCACGAAAGCGUGGGGAGCAAACAGG